AACGAACGCUGGCGGCAUGCCUAACACAUGCAAGUCGAACGAGACCUUCGGGUCUAGUGGCGCACGGGUGCGUAACGCGUGGGAACCUGCCCUUAGGUUCGGAAUAACUCCCCGAAAGGGGUGCUAAUACCGGAUAAUGUCUUCGGACCAAAGAUUUAUCGCCUUUGGAGGGGCCCGCGUUGGAUUAGCUAGUUGGUAGGGUAAAAGCCUACCAAGGCGACGAUCCAUAGCUGGUCUGAGAGGAUGAUCAGCCACACUGGGACUGGGACACGGCCCAGAAUCCUACGGAAAGCAGCAGUGGGGGAUAUUGGACAGUGGGCGAAGGCCUGAUCCAGCAAUGCCGCGUGAGUGAUGAAGGCCUUAGAGUUGUAAAGCUCUUUUACCCGGGAUGAUAAUGACAGUACCGAGAGAAUAAGCUCCGGCUAACUCCGUG
rnacentral:rRNA from 1 species